rnacentral:rRNA from 1 species
GACGAACGCUGGCGGCGUGCUUAACACAUGCAAGUCGAACGGAAAGGCCCUGCUUUUGUGGGGUGCUCGAGUGGCGAACGGGUGAGUAACACGUGAGUAACCUGCCCUUGACUUUGGGAUAACUUCAGGAAACUGGGGCUAAUACCGGAUAGGAGCUCCUGCUGCAUGGUGGGGGUUUGAAAGUUUCGGCGGUUGGGGAUGGACUCGCGGCUUAUCAGCUUGUUGGUGGGGUAAUGGCUUACCAAGGCUUUGACGGGUAGCCGGCCUGAGAGGGUGACCGGCCACAUUGGGACUGAGAUACGGCCCAGACUCCUACGGGAGGCAGCAGUGGGGAAUAUUGCACAAUGGGCGGAAGCCUGAUGCAGCAACGCCGCGUGCGGGAUGACGGCCUUCGGGUUGUAAACCGCUUUCGCCUGUGACGAAGCGUGAGUGACGGUAAUGGGUAAAGAAGCACCGGCUAACUACGUG